rnacentral:rRNA from 1 species
CCAAUAGCGUAUAUUAAAGUUGUUGCGGUUAAAAAGCUCGUAGUUGAAUUUCGGGGUCUGUCCGUCGGUCGGGCUUCACGGUCCGUACUGGGGUGAUGGGUUCCUUCUUUCUGAAUAACCCGUAUGCCAUUCAGUUGGUGCGCCGGGGACGCAGAGCUAUUAUCUCGAAAAAAUUAGAGUGCUUAUAGCAGGCUAGUGCUUGAAUAGAUUAGCAGGUAAUAAUAAAAUAGGACGGCAUGGUUCUAUUUUGUUGGUUUCUAGGAUCACCGUAAUGAUUAAUAGGGAUAGUUGGGGGCAUUAGUAUUCAAUUGUCAGAGGUGAAAUUCUUGGAUUUAUUGAAGACUAACUUCUGCGAAAGCAUUUGCCAAGGAUGUUUUCAUUAAUCAAGAACGAAAGUUAGGGGAUCGAAGACGAUCAGAUACCGUCGUAGUCUUAACCAUAAACUAUGCCGACUAGGGAUCGGACGAUGUUAAUUUUUUUAAUGACUCGUUCGGCGCCUUACG